rnacentral:rRNA from 1 species
CCUACGGGGGGCUGCAGUGGGGAAUUUUGGACAAUGGGCGCAAGCCUGAUCCAGCCAUGCCGCGUGCGGGAAGAAGGCCUUCGGGUUGUAAACCGCUUUUGUCAGGGAAGAAAUUGCUCGGGCUAAUACCCUGGGCCGAUGACGGUACCUGAAGAAUAAGCACCGGCUAACUACGUGCCAGCAGCCGCGGUAAUACGUAGGGUGCGAGCGUGCGUCGGAAGUACUGGGCGUAAAGUGCGCGCAAGCGGUCAAAUCCCCGGGCUCAACCUGGGAACUGCAUUUGUGACUGCACGGCUUGAGUACGGUAGAGGAGGAUGGAAUUCCGCGUGUAGCAGUGAAAUGCGUAGAUAUGCGGAGGAACACCGAUGGCGAAGGCAGUCCCCUGGGCCUGUACUGACGCUCAUGCACGAAAGCGUGGGGAGCAAACAGGAUUAGAUACCCCUGUAGUC